AAUCAACGCUGGCGGCGUGCCUCAGACACGCAAGUCGAACGAUUAAAGCUCUCUUCGGAGAGUGUAUAGAGUGGCGCACGGGUGAGUAACACGUAAGUAAUCUACCUUCGAGUGGGGAAUAACAUCGGGAAACCGAUGCUAAUACCGCAUAACGCAGCGGCAUCGCAAGAUGACAGUUGUUAAAGGAAUUUAUUUCGCUU
rnacentral:rRNA from 1 species